rnacentral:rRNA from 1 species
AAUCAACGCUGGCGGCGUGCCUCAGACAUGCAAGUCGAACGAUUAAGACUCUCUUCGGAGAGUGUAUAAAGUGGCGCACGGGUGAGUAACACGUAGGUAAUGUACCGAAGGGUGGGGAAUAACUUAGGGAAACUUAAGCUAAUACCGCAUAAUGCAGCGGCUCGACAUCGAGACAGUUGUUAAAGGAGCAAUCCGCCUUUUGAGCAGCCUGCGGCAGAUUAGCUAGUUGGUAAGGUAAUGGCUUACCAAGGCUACGAUCUGUAACCGACCUGAGAGGGUGGUCGGUCACACUGACACUGAAUAACGGGUCAGACUCCUACGGGAGGCAGCAGUCGGGAAUUUUGGGCAAUGGGCGAAAGCCUGACCCAGCAACGCCGCGUGGAGGAUGAAGUAUUUCGGUAUGUAAACUUCGUAAGAAUAGGAAGAAUAAAUGACGGUACUAUUUG